UACGAAGGGGGCGAGCGUUGUUCGGAAUUACUGGGCGUAAAGGGCGCGCAGGCGGUCCUUCAAGUCAGAUGUGAAAGCCCCGGGCUCAACCUGGGAACAGCAUUUGAGACUGGAGGACUUGAGGACGGGAGAGGAGAGUGGAAUUCCCAGUGUAGAGGUGAAAUUCGUAGAUAUUCGCAAGAACACCAGUGGCGAAGGCGGCUCACUGGCCCGAUACUGACGCUGAGGCACGAAAGCGUGGGGAGCAAACAGG
rnacentral:rRNA from 1 species